rnacentral:rRNA from 1 species
UACGGAGGAUCCAAGCGUUAUCCGGAUUUAUUGGGUUUAAAGGGUGCGUAGGCGGUUUGAUAAGUUAGAGGUGAAAUACCGGUGCUCAACACCGGAACUGCCUCUAAUACUGUUGAACUAGAGAGUAGUUGCGGUAGGCGGAAUGUAUGGUGUAGCGGUGAAAUGCUUAGAGAUCAUACAGAACACCGAUUGCGAAGGCAGCUUACCAAACUAUAUCUGACGUUGAGGCACGAAAGCGUGGGUAGCAAACAGG